rnacentral:lncRNA from 1 species
GAACAGUCAUCAGUGCCAGAAAACCACAGACAGUAAACCCAAGACCCGCAAAGACCCUCAGUUUCAGAAGGAAAACCACUGUGAAUGACUCAAACUAUUCAACCUUUUCCCAUCGGAAUGAUGCAAAGUGAGCCCACCCUCCAUGGGAGCUGAAGUCCAUCAUCCACAGCAGCCCUCGACAGGCAUCCAUCCUAGUGGAAGACUUGGAAUAUGGACAACAAGAAACAUAGGACGAUCUUACAGCGCUGCUUUCGAAAGGGGGAAAUUGGAAAGAGUCUAAAUGUCCAUUGAUACUAGAUUUCUUAAAUUCACUCUGGCACAUUCAUGCGAUGGAUUUCCAUCAAGCCAUCUUUAUAAGAACAAGGUCAAUUUUUACGUGUGGCAUGGGAAAUUCUCUAAGGUAUGGGGUUAAGUGAAAAGGACAAUUUGCAGAACGCUAUGUACAGAAUGAGGCAGAGAUUAAAGCAUUUAUGUUGAAAACAACAUAAAACAAAACAGUCUUUUGUACAUGGAGCAAGGCUCCAAGGCAAGUAGCAGUAGGGAAUUCUGUGUUCAAAGAUGUUAAUGAUGGUCCCAAGAGACUCCUAAAGGCCAGAAGAAAAUGUUACAAUUAGUCACUAGGAGUAAAAAGAGGGACACGCACACUGAGAGUGUAGCAAAAUGCACCCCUUUAUCAAAGAUGCUACAGAAACUAGAAGAAUGUUCUACAGGAUAACAUGGGGCAAAUCAAGGACUUUUGGGGGAUGUAGUAUGGAGUACAG